ACAGUAUAAAGGUCAGAAAACAGAGCGCUAGCAAAGAGCUGCUGACGGAUGAAGGGACCGGACCUUGGAUGGAGAAGCGGUGCCGAGCAGAGCUGAACCUGAUAGCUGACGGUGCCAGCAGUAGCUACAGCAGAUAACACAGUAAAGCCAACAGGCCAGACAAACACGGAAGAAAACGAAGAGGAAGAGACUGAUUGUUACCAACAGCCUGAUACUGCACUCCCAUAACUUCCAGUGAAGACACUGUGUGCUGGUUGAAGGCAAGCUGCUCCUGGGUACAUGAGCUUAGCCUUAUUCAAGCCACUGUACCCCCAAAUCCUUUUCUGACUAAUUUGGACUUGAGGGAAUGUUCAUGUCACAUGGGGAAGAAGAUUCAUGAUGAAAGUGAGCAACAUGAUGAUGCUUCCUCUUCCUUGGAUUUACCCAAUGUUACCUUCAGAAAACUCUGUGCAGAAGUGGAGCUGCUGAAUAAGGAAAAUAUGUGAUGCUUAAAGACUGAGUAUAAAUUGGAGAAAAGAGAAAUGGUACAGUGGGUGAAACUUUGGCACCAAAAAAUCUUUGUAGUUUUCAUUGGCUCUUCCCAACUGACAAGAUAAUCAAUCAGCAUGAAUUAGAAGAAACAGGAAUCUGCAUAAUUAAGACACAGGAUGUGAAAUGUUCCUGUUCUUUGCCCCUUUACCCCAAAUUUGGUCACAAUUACUAUAUCAAACUGCUUUUAGCCUUACUGGAUAUGAUCUCUCUUUAGAUGGAACUCCCAGACCCAAUGCAGUCCUCCUAAUUACUACUGCAUUUAUUUUUAAUUUACAGUUCCACCACAAUGCUUGUCUGUGGAUAAUUAAUUACAUUUCUGUAUCAAGCUGUUUUCUGUAUCAAAUUAUAUAUCUCAUUAUUUAUUUUAAAAUUCAAACUAAGGUACUCUGUUUGGGAGCAUUAGAGGAACAGCCAGUAAUUCCAGGUAAAUUUUUAGGCUACUGCUGUGAUGCACAUUGUCAUCUUUAGCAUUACUGGUUUGGUGACAUUUUACUGAGGCACCAUGAUAAGAAAGAGCAUUACGUUGAAAACUAUGUUGAUUAAAUACAACAGGAGAAAAGAAAGAAGAAAGAGAAACUAGAAGGCCCCCAAGCAAAAAACAGAAGUUGCAUCCUUCUCAACUCUUGCAGUUCAAAUUUGUGACUCAGGAUGGUUUUCUCUGUAAAAUGUUGUGUGAUGUUUGCUUUCUCAUAGGUAAGAAUCUAACCAAUUCUAUUCCAUUGAGUAAGUACUUCAGUUCUUAAAUGUUUUUUUAAAAAACCCAUUCUUUCAGUCAAAAGUUGAGACAUACAAGACAGAAAUGAUACUUAAAAAACAAACAAAUUUUAAAAAAUCAACAGAAUGAGCCAACAACAAAUAUGGUCAAAUAUAUAACUUACUUCUCCCACCCCAUUUAAUUCUACCCUCCCUCUUGUCUCUAGUGAGUGGUAAGGAAACUCAAUAGCUUCAGCCCCAAAGCUGGCAAAAACUACUGAGCAGCAUGUAGCUGAUGGUUAGAACCCAGAACUGUAACUCACAUUCUAGGUACUGUUCCCAACUAUGCCACUGACUUCCCGUGUGACUCGUUUGGGGCUCUUUUUAGACCCAGAUCCUCAAAGGUAUUUAGGCUCCUAACUGUCACUGAAAUCAAUGGGAAUUAGGCACUCAAAUACCUUUGAGGAUCUGAGCCCUUAGGCCCUGAUUCUGUAACCACAUGCUUCGCUUUACACACAAGUUGUCCACUGUGACCCAUAUGCAAAACGUUAAGCACAUGAGCAAUGGCAGGGACAGGGCCAUAAGCUCUGCAUUUCUCAUGUGUAAAAUAGAACUAAUAUUCAGUAAUACAAAGGGGUGUUGUGAAAAUUAAUUUGUUAGUAAAUGUUUGUAAAACAAUCUGAGAUUCUUGGGUGAAAGUUGUUACAUAAGGUUCAGAACAGUAUUAUGUACUCUAAAUUAGUAGGGAGUGCUCUGGAUCAAGACUAGUUGCUACCAUCCCAACACAUUCAUCAUCUCCUACUUACUGAAUCACCUCUACUAUGAUCUCCAUCUUCCUAUAGCCUGGGGAACAAGCAUCUUUUAAGUUUGACAGCACUUGAGAAAGUGCAGUUUUAUUAUUUAGCUAAUGCUGAGGUUAAACAUUAAACAGUCAUUUUGGAGCCAGACUUAAUAAGAGGGAGGAAGAAACUCAACAUUUUAAUUCUUUGGAUAACUUUGAAGGAUUAGCAGCCAUAGCGUUCUGUGGAUUUUAAUAGGCCACUGUCUUAAGGAAAAAACAAAAAUAAGUGACAUGCAAAGGCUACUUCAUAUGAUACAGAGAAAUAUUCAAAUAAAACUAAUCUAAAUAUUUAUAUUCUGGUCUCUGUGCCUAAUCUAAAGUUUUCUGAUAUCUGUAACUGCUUUUUGGUUUUAUUCAGGGUAUGUUGCCCAAAUGUGUUUCUAAUUGUGCAGUACCAAAUUUUAAUAUGAACAAAACUAAAACAA